AUACGGAGGGUGCAAGCGUUAUCCGGAUUUAUUGGGUUUAAAGGGUGCGCAGGCGGCGAUGUAAGUCAGUGGUGAAAGGCUGCCGCUUAACGGUAGGACUGCCAUUGAUACUGCAUUGCUUGAGUAUGGUUGAGGUAAGCGGAAUGUGUGGUGUAGCGGUGAAAUGCAUAGAUAUCACACAGAACACCGAUUGCGAAGGCAGCUUACUAAGCCAUUACUGACGCUGAGGCACGAAAGCGUGGGUAGCGAACAGGAUUAGAUACCCUAGUAGUCC
rnacentral:rRNA from 1 species